rnacentral:rRNA from 1 species
GAUGAACGCUAGCGGCAGGCUUAACACAUGCAAGUCGAGGGGUAACAGGAAUAGCUUGCUAUUUGCUGACGACCGGCGCACGGGUGCGUAACGCGUAUGCAACCUACCUUUUACUGGAGAAUAGCCUUUAGAAAUGAAGAUUAAUACUCCAUAACAUUGAUAUAAAGCAUUUUAUAUUGAUUAAAGUUUCGGCGGUAAAAGAUGGGCAUGCGUUCUAUUAGUUAGUUGGUAAGGUAACGGCUUACCAAGACUACGAUAAAUAGGGGUCCUGAGAGGGAGAUCCCCCACACUGGUACUGAGGCACGGACCAGACUCCUACGGGAGGCAGCAGUGAGGAAUAUUGGACAAUGGAGGCAACUCUGAUCCAGCCAUGCCGCGUGCAGGAAGACGGCCCUAUGGGUUGUAAACUGCUUUUAUACAGGAAGAAACCACGCUACGUGUAGUGUGCUGACGGUACUGUAAGAAUAAGCACCGGCUAACUCCGUGCCAGCAGCCGCGGUAAUACGGAGGGUACAAGCGUUAUCCGGAAUCAUUGGGUUUAAAGGGUCCGUAGGCGGACUAUUAAGUCAGAGGUGAAAUCCCACAGCUCAACUGUGGAACUGCCUUUGAUACUGGUAGUCUUGAGUUAUAUGGAAGUAGAUAGAAUGUGUAGUGUAGCGGUGAAAUGCAUAGAUAUUACACAGAAUACCGAUUGCGAAGGCAGUCUACUACAUAUAUACUGACGCUAAGGGACGAAAGCGUGGGGAGCGAACAGGAUUAGAUACCCUGGUAGUCCACGCCGUAAACGAUGGAUACUAGUUGUUGGAUUUAUUCAGUGACUAGGCGAAAGUGAUAAGUAUCCCACCUGGGGAGUACGGUCGCAAGACUGAAACUCAAAGGAAUUGACGG